rnacentral:lncRNA from 1 species
AACGCUUAGUCACUCAGCAGACGAUCUCUUACAACGCGUAAGCACUAGCUGAGACUGAAAAACGUUCAACAACGUUCAAAUUUUUCUAAAAACAAUUAUUGAGAAAGGAACGACUUAUAAAUUUAGGAUUCUUGUUCAGAUACUAGCAUGGAUCCAAAAUGGAACAAGUCAUUACAAGUAAAUAACAACAAAUCGAUUUCUGUCUUCAUGUUUUGACCUUCAUAGCCUAUCAGAGCAACAAGUUAUGUAGCCCCGUCUUACCUUGUAAUUUCAAAUUGUGAAAACUUGGUGACGCCCAUUUUUUAACUGUCGUCAACUGCGCAAGACUGGACCAGAGCUGGAUCGAAAGAGCUACCACAGCUUCAUUGCCCAUAUAAUAGGGCUAAAGUAAAAUUUGUUUUUAUCGAAAUCAAGAUUUGAAUCGUCAUCGAAGACAUGACCACAUCCAGUUGGACAAUCCGUAUUCCGGGCAAACCACUCGCGAAUGUGAAGUAAAUGACCACCGUGUGAACAACCUAUCCCAGGGCGAAUUCAACGUUUCUUUCAAAUGUGUUGUCUUUUGUAAAGUAAUGCCUCAUUUUAUAAUACCUCGACACCAGACGUAGAGGCCUCGAACAACUAAAUGGCAAAGCGAACACGUGUUGGUGAUAGUUUUGCAGGAAUCACAGAGCCAACCACGUCGCUGCAAGGCCCGACUGCACAAAUUGCAGUGAGUUGGGUAGACAUCGAAUCGGAGUUGCACACUUUCACAUUGCGACAGUUUGACUACUAAAGCCGCCGUGUUCCAUAACCGACAUCUACUAAGGCACUGAAAAACACUUUAGGGUCGUGUGAUAGCUUACAUCAAUAUACGCGAGGAUCCAGUGCUCAACAGCCGCCUCAUUUAACAAAUGACGAAUUCGAUCUCCUAAAACCAAAAUGAGCGUCACGGCAGUCUGGACGUCUCCUUCUUCGGCCAUGUGGUAGACCAUCUCGACGGCAUUGGAAACGCCACUCCAACAUGUCGUGCCGAGACUACUGGACGAGCCCGGCAGACAUAAAAGGGCUGAGGUUGUAUCCUCUACUUCAACCAUUUGAGCUUCAAUGCGAGUCCCGGCAAAGCAGUGACUGGUAAAAUGUUCUGGAGGAGGAGAUCGAUCUUUAAUUUCAUGACGAAGUUGAAAGGCUUCGCAGGGUAAAAUCCAAUCCAUCUGACUAGAUUGCUGUUGUUGCUGUUGUUGGUCUGUUUCCCCGCUGUUUUUACUCCCUUGCACAGAAUCAGACGUGUCACCAAAGUCGUUCAACACAUCCGCCUCGGCAUCUCCGAAGAAAAAGUCACUCGUGUUAAAGUGGGAUCCACUAGCGAUGUGCGACAACAUUAUCUAUUCCAUCGAAACGGGUUGAAAAUUCUACCUGAAGAAAUACGGACUUCAUCUACACUGGCCGCAAAAAUAUUGUUUACCUGUGAAUCAAUAUCUUCCACCUCAGAUUCGGCUUCUUCGCUGACUCCUCCAGAAGUGUCAGACACGCCCCUUUCAUUACUAUUAGACGUCGGUGCACUAUUGCUGUUGUUGGAUCCGCUUCCAUUGACUAAGGGUUCGCUUUGUUGGCCCGUCUGCUGAGUUGGAAAAGCCACAUUUCCCGACUGAUGUCUCGUGCCAGCGCGGGAAGACGCGUCUUUGCUGGAAUCUCCUGGCUCUGACUCUUCCUUAUUGACUGGCACUGGCCGACUGGAUCCGACUGAUGCCACCGCUGAAGGUGGAGCAAAUUCCAGACCAGAAAAGCCAAACAGAAGUUUAACCACACGCCAAAUGGUAGCCACCUGAAGUCGACCGGCAUUUGCCGCCACUACUGCAUUGUGGUCACAGAUUUCACUGAGAGAUUUGCCUGUCGUUGUCUGUAACCAAUAAUUUUGUGCACAAUCCCGAAACACUUGGGCAGGCGUCGGUUUUACGUUUUCGAAAACAUAAAUGGAACAGCGCACGGCUGGAUAGUCUUCUGAUUCUAAUUUAGGUUUCCUCGGUCUAAAGACAAAAAGUUAAUAAUCUAAAGUUUCUUUCAGCCAACAAAACACUUGCUCAACUUACAGGGUUGGAUGUUUAUUCUUCUUGGAAUUCCUAUCAACUGAGGCUGACGUCAGACUUCCCUUGGAAUUGUAAGUGACGCAGAUGGGAUUCGCUUUCUCCAUUGGUCUUUCCGCAUCUGCAAUUACGUGUUGGAUGAGAUAGGAAUCCUUGAGAGAAAAAAAAAGGUUGAAUUAAAUAUUCAAAGAAAUUUAGAUGAAUACUUUUUUUUUUAACCGACUUUGCUAGUGGAUAACAAAACGUCCGGUGAACCUCUCCAGGCAAUGCCAGUUGUGAUGUCUUUAUGGUCAUUAAAAGAAGCAUGCGGGAUGUAAGGUCGUCGAACGUCCCACACAUGAAUAACACUGUCGAUAACAAGAGCGCAGCUGGCGAUGUGAUACAUCCUUUGUGGGCGCCAUUUGAUACGGCCCACUGAUGCCAUUGUUGUAACGGUGUGUUCCAAUACCGGCCGGUAACCCAAAUCCCAUACCUAGACCUUGACAGCACGGUCUCUACCGGCUGUGGCGAGCCACGUUUUGUUUUCUGGAUGCCAAUCGCAA